rnacentral:rRNA from 1 species
UACAGAGGGUGCUAGCGUUGUUCGGAAUCAUUGGGCGUAAAGGGCGUGUAGGCGGUUUGUUAAGUCAUGUGUGAAAUCCCUCGGCUCAACCGGGGAAGGACGCAUGAAACUGGCAAGCUAGAGUACCAAAGAGGGGGGUGGAAUUCCCGGUGUAGCGGUGAAAUGCGUAGAUAUCUGGAGGAACACCCGUGGUGCAGACGGCUUGCUGGACCGUGACUGACGCUGAGGCACGAAAGCGUGGGUAGCAAACAGG